rnacentral:tRNA from 1 species
ACGGAUAUGAUGAAAUUGGUAGACGUGUUAGAUUUAGAUUCUAAUGAUAAUAAUCGUGAGGGUUCGAAUCCCUCUAUCCGUA